AUUGAACGCUGGCGGCAGGCCUAACACAUGCAAGUCGAACGGUAACAGAAAGCAGCUUGCUGCUUUGCUGACGAGUGGCGGACGGGUGAGUAAUGUCUGGGAAACUGCCUGAUGGAGGGGGAUAACUACUGGAAACGGUAGCUAAUACCGCAUAACGUCGCAAUACCAAAGAGGGGGACCUUCGGGCCUCUUGCCAUCGGAUGUGCCCAGAUGGGAUUAGCUAGUAGGUGGGGUAACGGCUCACCUAGGCGACGAUCCCUAGCUGGUCUGAGAGGAUGACCAGCCACACUGGAACUGAGACACGGUCCAGACUCCUACGGGAGGCAGCAGUGGGGAAUAUUGCACAAUGGGCGCAAGCCUGAUGCAGCCAUGCCGCGUGUAUGAAGAAGGCCUUCGGGUUGUAAAGUACUUUCAGCGGGGAGGAAGGGAGUAAAGUUAAUACCUUUGCUCAUUGACGUUACCCGCAGAAGAAGCACCGGCUAACUCCGUG
rnacentral:rRNA from 1 species